rnacentral:rRNA from 1 species
UACGAAGGGGGCUAGCGUUGCUCGGAAUCACUGGGCGUAAAGCGCACGUAGGCGGCUUUCUAAGUCAGGGGUGAAAUCCUGGAGCUCAACUCCAGAACUGCCCUUGAUACUGGGAAGCUCGAGUUCGGGAGAGGUGAGUGGAACUGCGAGUGUAGAGGUGAAAUUCGUAGAUAUUCGCAAGAACACCAGUGGCGAAGGCGGCUCACUGGCCCGAUACUGACGCUGAGGUGCGAAAGCGUGGGGAGCAAACAGG